AUCGAACGCUGGCGGCAGGCCUAACACAUGCAAGUCGAGCGGGGUUUUCGGACCUAGCGGCGGACGGGUGAGUAAUGCGUAGGAAGCUACCCGAUAGAGGGGGAUACCAGUUGGAAACGACUGUUAAUACCGCAUAAUGUCUACGGACCAAAGUGUGGGACCUUCGGGCCACAUGCUAUCGGAUGCGCCUACGUGGGAUUAGCUAGUUGGUGAGGUAAUGGCUCACCAAGGCGACGAUCCCUAGCUGGUUUGAGAGGAUGAUCAGCCACACUGGAACUGAGACACGGUCCAGACUCCUACGGGAGGCAGCAGUGGGGAAUAUUGGACAAUGGGCGCAAGCCUGAUCCAGCCAUGCCGCGUGUGUGAAGAAGGCCUUCGGGUUGUAAAGCACUUUCAGUAGGGAGGAAGCGUUGUGUGUUAAUUGUACACAGCGUUGACGUUACCUACAGAAGAAGCACCGGCUAACUCUGUGCCAGCAGCCGCCGUAAAAC
rnacentral:rRNA from 1 species